GCCGGGCAUGGUGGCUCAUGCCUGUAAUCCCAGCACCUUGGGAGGCCGAGGCGGGUGGAUCACCUGAGGUCAGGAGUUCAAGACCAGCCUGGCCAACAUGGUGAAACCCCGUCUCUG
rnacentral:SRP_RNA from 1 species